UACGGAGGGUGCAAGCGUUACUCGGAAUUACUGGGCGUAAAGCGCGCGUAGGCGGCUUACUAAGUCUGAUGUGAAAGCCCUGGACUCAAUCCAGGAAGUGCAUUGGAUACUGGUAGGCUAGAGUAUAGGAGAGGUGAGUGGAAUUCCUGGUGUAGAGGUGAAAUUCGUAGAUAUCAGGAGGAACAACAGAGGCGAAGGCGACUCACUGGACUAUAACUGACGCUGAGGUGCGAAAGCGUGGGGAGCAAACAGG
rnacentral:rRNA from 1 species